AUGCCCGGGCCUUGGACCAUGCAGGCGCAGAAGGAUCCCUGGAGGCGGGCAGCAGUCACAGAGAGUGACAAGGACAGAAAUGCUGUUCUGACUGAACCGGGGUCAGCACCCUGGCUGUCCCGAGAUUUGCCACAUGUUAUGAAGAGACUGGACUUGAGCAGGGAGAGAAGGAAAACUAAAUCCACAAAUGGGACCGAGCAGGCCAGGGAAAAGCUACUACUUCCAGUAACCAGCCCAGAAAGCCCACCCCCAGUGUGUACUGACCCUCCCAGAACACAGCCUACGGGGGGCACCACCGGCACAGGGAGCAGUCCCUCAUCUAGAGCCAGACCGGUCCAACCUGCCUCUCGGAGGCUGCAUCAGCCCGGAGCAGCUGGUAAUGUGGCCCCACAAGAUCACAAGCUUACUCUUAUUAUGUGACUUUUAGCAACAGUUUUCACGACUGCACAGUGCUGGAGCACAGACUGUGCAGGUGGCGGUGGGGAGGGGAGCAGUUCCCUCUCCAGGGCCCACCACACACAACGCCUCUCCACUCAGGGCGGCCCAGGCGAGCCAAGAGGUUGGACGUCCAGGAAAUGGCCUGCUGUCUACAGGAACCAGCCCAUUUAUGCUAACCAGGCCCAGCACCAGCACUGUCUACACUGCACAGCCUAAAAAACCAACCCUCUCUCUGUGCUAACCAGCCUAGGAAGCCAGCCUGUUAGCAGUAGCAGCCAGGGGCCCCUCAUCUGCACUGACCAGCCUGGGAGUCAGCUUGCUGUCUCUGAGUCACACGGAAGUGAGACCACCUGUCCAGCGACAGUCCAGGAGCAAAGCAGCAAAGUGAGGCCAGGACCUGGCGCCACCAGACUGCCCCUAUUCUUUGCCUCUUCCUUCACAGGACCAGCCUCGGAUCUUCCCUGCCACACCCUGACGUCGAAGGCAGAGCUGGGGGCCAACUCUCCCUCGGGAGGCACUGGGUGAGCUGCUGUAGCCUGCUCUCGUGCUGGUCUGUGUGUGUCUCCACGAGCUGAGCUGCUGGGGGCAGCUGGGUAGAGGCACACACACCUUGUCUCAUGUUCUGUGUGUGAAUCUACAGUUAUCUUAAAACAGAAAGCUGAGCUGGAAAAAAAAUCCCAGAGCUGUGAUGCUCAUGUCUAGCGGAGCAGACAAAGAACGAGCACAGUCAAUAGGUAAAUUGUGUUAGAUGGAAGAUGACGGGAUGCUGGUGAAAUCAGAGUGGGUGUCCCGUGAUGGGUUACUUCAGAGCAUUAAGAUGUUAUGGAAAAAGAUCUAUGACACUUGAGCUUUUCAUGGUAUCUGGUGAAAUGGAAAGUAAUCAGGUUUCUGAACUGUGUUCAGUAUGAGUCCAGCCUUUAAAAUAAAAAUGCAUUUAUGCAAAGAAUAAAGGCCAGAAAGAUAAAUGCCAAUGAAAUCAACAACCUCAGAGGGCUAUGAUGAGACAUGAAAGUUGUUUGAUUUUCUUUCUGAAUUUCUGUUUCUCCCAAGUUUU
rnacentral:lncRNA from 1 species